UUCCCAGCUGCCACCGCGGUGGUGGGGCUUCCGCCCGCCAACCUGGAAGGGGUUGGGCUUCCGCCUGUUCCCAGCUCCCUCCCGCCGGCUCCAGCCCCCGCCAGGCCUCCCCCACUGCAGCUGACACCAUGGCCACCGCCUCCAGCUGGGUCUCCGCUGCCAUUACAUGGAUUAAGAACACGAAAAUGCUGCAAAUUAUUGUUUUUUGAGAAAAUCGCCCACCUAGUCUGAGGAUUAAUGAAUAAAGAAAAUGUGGUACUUAUACACGAUGGAAUACUAUUUGGCCAUAAAAAAGAAUGAGAUCCUGUCAUUUGCAACAACAUGGAUGGAACUGAAGGUCAUUGCAUAAAGUGUAAUAAGCCAGGCUUAAUGUUUCUAAAGCCUCAUGCGGUGCUACUGUAUUAAAAAGUCAAGCUAAUAAUGUUGUCACUAGGGAGGACAGUGAAUAUGAAUUUG